AGAUUGAACGCUGGCGGCAUGCCUUACACAUGCAAGUCGAACGGCAGCACGGGAGCAAUCCUGGUGGCGAGUGGCGAACGGGUGAGUAAUAUAUCGGAACGUGCCCAGUCGUGGGGGAUAACGCAGCGAAAGCUGUGCUAAUACCGCAUACGAUCUCUGGAUGAAAGCGGGGGACUCGCAAGAGCCUCGCGCGAUUGGAGCGGCCGAUAUCAGAUUAGCUAGUUGGUGGGGUAAAAGCUCACCAAGGCGACGAUCUGUAGCUGGUCUGAGAGGACGACCAGCCACACUGGAACUGAGACACGGUCCAGACUCUAGGGAGCAGCAGUGGGGAAUUUUGGACAAUGGGGAAACCCUGAUCCAGCCAUCCCGCGUGUGCGAUGAAGGCCUUCGGUUGGUAAACUGCUUUGUACGAGACGAAAGUACUGCCCUAAUACGCGGACCACUGACGUACGUAAGAAUAAGCACCGACUAACUACGUGACC
rnacentral:rRNA from 1 species